GUAGGGCGGGACACGUGGUAUCCUGUCUGAAUAUGGGGGGACCAUCCUCCAAGGCUAAAUACUCCUGACUGACCGAUAGUGAACCAGUACCGUGAGGGAAAGGCGAAAAGAACCCCGGCGAGGGGAGUGAAAAAGAACCUGAAACCGUGUACGUACAAGCAGUGGGAGCCUCUUUAUGGGGUGACUGCGUACCUUUUGUAUAAUGGGUCAGCGACUUAUAUUCUGUAGCAAGGUUAACCGUAUAGGGGAGCCGAAGGGAAACCGAGUCUUAACUGGGCGUUAAGUUGCAGGGUAUAGACCCGAAACCCGGUGAUCUAGCCAUGGGCAGGUUGAAGGUUGGGUAACACUAACUGGAGGACCGAACCGACUAAUGUUGAAAAAUUAGCGGAUGACCUGUGGCUGGGGGUGAAAGGCCAAUCAAACCGGGAGAUAGCUGGUUCUCCCCGAAAGCUAUUUAGGUAGCGCCUCGUGAACUCAUCUUCGGGGGUAGAGCACUGUUUCGGCUAGGGGGCCAUCCCGGCUUACCAACCCGAUGCAAACUACGAAUACCGAAGAAUGUUAUCACGGGAGACACACGGCGGGUGCUAACGUCCGUCGUGAAGAGGGAAACAACCCAGACCGCCAGCUAAGGUCCCAAAGUCAUGGUUAAGUGGGAAACGAUGUGGGAAGGCACAGACAGCCAGGAUGUUGGCUUAGAAGCAGCCAUCAUUUAAAGAAAGCGUAAUAGCUCACUGGUCGAGUCGGCCUGCGCGGAAGAUGUAACGGGGCUAAACCAUGCACCGAAGCUGCGGCAGCGACACUAUGUGUUGUUGGGUAGGGGAGCGUUCUGUAAGCCGUUGAAGGUGUGCUGUGAGGCAUGCUGGAGGUAUCAGAAGUGCGAAUGCUGACAUAAGUAACGAUAAAGCGGGUGAAAAGCCCGCUCGCCGGAAGACCAAGGGUUCCUGUCCAACGUUAAUCGGGGCAGGGUGAGUCGACCCCUAAGGCGAGGCCGAAAGGCGUAGUCGAUGGGAAACAGGUUAAUAUUCCUGUACUUGGUGUUACUGCGAAGGGGGGACGGAGAAGGCUAUGUCAGCCGGGCGACGGUUGUCCCGGUUUAAGCAUGUAGGCGGAGGUUCCAGGUAAAUCCGGUACCUUAUUAACGCUGAGGUGUGAUGACGAGGCACUACGGUGCUGAAGUGAUAAAUGCCCUGCUUCCAGGAAAAGCCUCUAAGCAUCAGGUAACACGAAAUCGUACCCCAAACCGACACAGGUGGUCAGGUAGAGAAUACCAAGGCGCUUGAGAGAACUCGGGUGAAGGAACUAGGCAAAAUGGUGCCGUAACUUCGGGAGAAGGCACGCUGAUAUGUAGGUGAAGCCCCUGCGGGCGGAGCUGAAAUCAGUCGAAGAUACCAGCUGGCUGCAACUGUUUAUUAAAAACACAGCACUGUGCAAACACGAAAGUGGACGUAUACGGUGUGACGCCUGCCCGGUGCCGGAAGGUUAAUUGAUGGGGUUAGCGGCAACGCGAAGCUCUUGAUCGAAGCCCCGGUAAACGGCGGCCGUAACUAUAACGGUCCUAAGGUAGCGAAAUUCCUUGUCGGGUAAGUUCCGACCUGCACGAAUGGCGUAAUGAUGGCCAGGCUGUCUCCACCCGAGACUCAGUGAAAUUGAACUCGCUGUGAAGAUGCAGUGUACCCGCGGCAAGACGGAAAGACCCCGUGAACCUUUACUAUAGCUUGACACUGAACACUGGUCCUUGAUGUGUAGGAUAGGUGGGAGGCUUUGAAGCGUG
rnacentral:rRNA from 1 species